rnacentral:rRNA from 1 species
AUUGAACGCUGGCGGCAUGCUUUACACAUGCAAGUCGAACGGCAGCACGGGUGCUUGCACCUGGUGGCGAGUGGCGAACGGGAGAGUAAUACAUCGGAACGUACCUGAUAGUGGGGGAUAACGCUUCGAAAGGAGUGCUAAUACCGCAUAAGCCCCGAGGGGGAAAGGGGGGGACCAGCAAUGGCCUCACGCUAACAGAGCGGCCGAUGGCUGAUUAGCUAGUUGGUGAGGUAGAGGCUCACCAAGGCGACGAUCAGUAGCGGGUCUUAGAGGACGAUCCGCCACACUGGAACUGAGACACGGUCCAGACUCCUACGGGAGGCAGCAGUGGGGAAUCUUGGACAAUGGGCGCAAGCCUGAUCCAGCAAUGCCGCGUGGGUGAAGAAGGCCUUCGGGUUGUAAAGCCCUUUUGUUUGGGAGCAAAGCUUACCUAAUAACCCUAGGUGUGGAUGAGGGUACCAAAAGAAUCAGCACCGGCUAACUACGUGCCAGCAGCCGCCGUAA